rnacentral:rRNA from 1 species
UACGAAGGUGGCAAGCGUUAUUCGGAUUUACUGGGCGUACAGGGAGCGUAGGCGGUUCGGUAAGCCCUUUGUGAAAUCUCCAGGCUUAACCUGGAACAGUCGGAGGGGACUGCCGGGCUAGAGGACGGGAGAGGAGCGCGGAAUUCCCGGUGUAGCGGUGAAAUGCGUAGAGAUCGGGAGGAAGGCCGGUGGCGAAGGCGGCGCUCUGGAACGUUUCUGACGCUGAGGCUCGAAAGCGUGGGGAGCAAACAGGAUUAGAUACCCUGGUAGUCCACGCCUUAAACUAUGAAUACUAAGUGUCGGCGGGUUACCGCCGGUGCCGCAGCUAACGCAUUAAGUAUUCCGCCUGGGAAGUACGGCCGCAAGGUUGAA